UAAAUCCUCAGGACAGUCAAUUGCCAACGUAUAUGCCCCCAUUGGCGGGGUCCUCAACACAGUCAGGUUGUCAAUUUCAUAUUGUCUUCCAAUUCAUAUAUUAUUUUCAAAAAUAAUAUAAAUGAUAUUCGAGUCAAACCAAUCAUAUCAUUCUUUAUGAUCAUACAUCAUCAUAAUAAUUUUUCAACAAAUAACUUUAAUCAUAAAUAAUCUCUACAAUUAACUUUCAUCAUAAUCAAUUAUUUCAAUAAUUUCAAUCACAAGCAUGC
rnacentral:lncRNA from 1 species